CAGUAGCCACGGGAAUACGUAGGUGGCAAGCGUUGUCCGGAACUAUUGGGCAUAAAGGGCUCGCAGGCGGUUUCUUAAGUCUGAUGUGAAAGCCCCCGGCUCAACCGGGGAGGGUCAUUGGAAACUGGGAAACUUGAGUGCAGAAGAGGAGAGUGGAAUUCCACGUGUAGCGGUGAAAUGCGUAGAGAUGUGGAGGAACACCAGUGGCGAAGGCGACUCUCUGGUCUGUAACUGACGCUGAGGAGCGAAAGCGUGGGGAGCGAACAGGAUUAGAUACCCCCGUAGUCCCUGUCUCUUAUAC
rnacentral:rRNA from 1 species